CCUACGGGUGGCAGCAGUGGGGAAUAUUGCACAAUGGGCGAAACCCUGAUGCAGCGAAGCCGCGUGAGUGAUGAAGUAUUUCGGUAUGUAAAACUCUAUUUGUAUGGAAGUAAAUUACGGUACCUGAUUAAGAAUCCCCGUCUAACUACGUUCCAGCAGCCCCGGGAAUACGGAGGGGGCCAGCGUUAUACGGAUUUACUGGGCGUUAAGGGGGCGUAGACGGUUGAAUAAGUCUGGAGUGAAAUGCUGGGGCUUAACCCCGGAAUUUUUUGGGAAACUGUGCAGCUAGAGUGCAGGUUGGGUAAGUGGAAUGCCGGGUGUAGCGGUGAAAUGCGUAGAUAUUAGGAAGAACACCAGUGGCGAAGGCAGCUUACUAGACUGUAACUGACGUUGAGGCUCGAAAGCGUGGGGAGCAAACAGGAUUAGAUACCCGGGUAGUC
rnacentral:rRNA from 1 species